GGUUCGAUGCCUUACUCACACAAGGAUGCACAUAUACAUUGUAUAGAGUGGCAUUUUGUCUAAACCGGGAGGAACUUCAAUUUCGCAAUAUUGGUCAUGGGCUAGAGUUGGGAUUGAUAACACAUACUAUUGUGGAUCCAUUCACGAAGCCAAUCCAAUUUCCUCCAUUUCCAAAGUAUCUUAUGCCAUUUCAUGAGGUUUACCAACAACCGCAUAAGACAUUCGUAGAUGUUAUUGGCAUAGUUCUUCAUUUGGAACCAUUAAAGCAUAUCGGUGGAAGACCGUAUAGAGAAGCUGUACUAAUGGAUUCUAGGUGGGAUCUAAUCAUCGUGGGGGUAUGGACUGACCUCUUGCAAAGAAAUGCUCUACGAUGGUCGUUAGCUAGAGUUGACAAGAACAUCAUUAUUGGAACUUUGCUGCGUUGUAACCAU